rnacentral:rRNA from 1 species
AGAAUCAACGCUGGCGGCGUGCCUCAGACAUGCAAGUCGAACGAUUAAAGCUCCCUUCGGGGAGUGCAUAAAGUGGCGCACGGGUGAGUAACACGUAAGUAAUCUACCCUCGGGUGGGGAAUAACGUUCGGAAACGGACGCUAAUACCGCAUAAUGCAGCGGCACCGCAAGGUGACAGUUGUUAAAGAUUUAUUGCCUGGGGAGGAGCUUGCGGCAGAUUAGCUUGUUGGUAAGGUAACGGCUUACCAAGGCUACGAGUACUGUAUCCGGUCUAAGGAGGACGUCGGACACACUGACACUGAAUAACGGGUCACGACUCCUACGGAGGCAGCAGUCGGGAAUUUGGGCUAAUAGGGGGAACCUGACCAGCAACGCCGACGUGAAGGAGUGAGUAAGUUCGGUAUUAGUAAACUUCGAAAGUAAUAA